rnacentral:rRNA from 1 species
CCUUCCAAGAAAGCACCGGCUAACUCCGUGCCAGCAGCCGCGGUAAUACGGAGGGUGCAAGCGUUGCUCGGAAUUACUGGGCGAAAAGCGUACGCAGGCGGUCUGAUAAGUCGGGUGUGAAAGCCCCGGGCUCAACCCGGGAACUGCAUUCGAAACUGCCAGACUUGAGUUUGGGAGAGGGAAGUGGAAUUCCUGGUGUAGAGGUGAAAUUCGUUGAUAUCAGGAGGAACACCGGCGGCGAAAGCGGCUUCCUGGCCCGAUACUGACGCUCAUGUACGAAAGCGUGGGGAGCAAACAGGAUUAGAUACCCUGGUAGUCCACGCCGUAAACGAUGAGUGCUAGAUGUUGGAGGUAUUCACCCCUUCAGUGUCGAAGCUAACGCAUUAAGCACUCCGCCUGGGGAGUACGGCCGCAAGGUUAAAACUCAAAGGAAUUGACGGGGGC